rnacentral:rRNA from 1 species
GCGCUCGAGAGAUUCAUGGCUAAGGAACUAGGCAAAAUAGACCUGUAACUUCGGGAGAAAGGUCGCCAGCGCAAGCUGGCCGCAGUGAAAAGGUCCAGGCGACUGUUUAUCAAAAACACAGGGCUCUGCAAAAUCGUAAGAUGACGUAUAGGGCCUGACACCUGCCCGGUGCUGGAAGGUUAAGAGGAGAUGUUAUCUUCGGAGAAGCAUUGAAUUGAAGCCCCAGUAAACGGCGGCCGUAACUAUAACGGUCCUAAGGUAGCGAAAUUCCUUGUCGGGUAAGUUCCGACCCGCACGAAAGGUGUAACGAUUUGGGCACUGUCUCAACCAGAGACUCGGUGAAAUUAUAGUACCUGUGAAGAUGCAGGUUACCCGCGACAGGACGGAAAGACCCCGUGGAGCUUUACUGUAGCCUGAUAUUGAAUUUUGGUACAGUUUGUACAGGAUAGGCGGGAGCCAUUGAAACCGGAGCGCUAGCUUCGGUGGAGGCGCUGGUGGGAUACCGCCCUGACUGUAUUGAAAUUCUAACCUACGGGUCUUAUCGACCCGGGAGACAGUGUCAGGUGGGCAGUUUGACUGGGGCGGUCGCCUCCUAAAGUGUAACGGAGGCGCCCAAAGGUUCCCUCAGAAUGGUUGGAAAUCAUUCGUAGAGUGCAAAGGCAUAAGGGAGCUUGACUGCGAGACCUACAAGUCGAGCAGGGACGAAAGUCGGGCUUAGUGAUCCGGUGGUUCCGCAUGGAAGGGCCAUCGCUCAACGGAUAAAAGCUACCCCGGGGAUAACAGGCUUAUCUCCCCCAAGAGUCCACAUCGACGGGGAGGUUUGGCACCUCGAUGUCGGCUCAUCGCAUCCUGGGGCUGUAGUCGGUCCCAAGGGUUGGGCUGUUCGCCCAUUAAAGCGGUACGCGAGCUGGGUUCAGAACGUCGUGAGACAGUUCGGUCCCUAUCCGUCGUGGGCGUAGGAAAUUUGAGAGGAGCUGAUGGGCUGUUCGCCCAUUAAAGCGGUACGCGAGCUGGGUUCAGAACGUCGUGAGACAGUUCGGUCCCUAUCCGUCGUGGGCGUAGGAAAUUUGAGAGGAGCUGUCCUUAGUACGAGAGGACCGGGAUGGACGCACCGCUGGUGUACCAGUUGUUCUGCCAAGGGCAUAGCUGGGUAGCUAUGUGCGGAAGGGAUAAGUGCUGAAAGCAUCUAAGCAUGAAGCCACCGCUGGUGUACCAGUUGUUCUGCCAAGGGCAUAGCUGGGUAGCUAUGUGCGGAAGGGAUAAGUGCUGAAAGCAUCUAAGCAUGAAGCCCCCCUCAAGAUGAGAUUUCCCAUAGCGUAAGCUAGUAAGAUCCCUGAAAGAUGAUCAGGUUGAUAGGUUCGAGGUGGAAGCAUGGUGACAUGUGGAGCUGACGAAUACUAAUAGAUCGAGGACUUAACCAUAUA